CUUUGGGAUAAUUCUCGGAAACGGGGGCUAAUACCGGAUAUGACCUCCUGUCGCAUGGUGGGGGGUGGAAAGUUUUUCGGCCUGGGAUGGGCUCGCGGCCUAUCAGCUUGUUGGUGGGGUGAUGGCCUACCAAGGCGACGACGGGUAGCCGGCCUGAGAGGGCGACCGGCCACACUGGGACUGAGACACGGCCCAGACUCCUACGGGAGGCAGCAGUGGGGAAUAUUGCACAAUGGGCGGAAGCCUGAUGCAGCGACGCCGCGUGAGGGAUGACGGCCUUCGGGUUGUAAACCUCUUUCAGCAGGGACGAAGCGCAAGUGACGGUACCUGCAGAAGAAGCGCCGGCCAACUACGUGCCAGCAGCCGCGGUAAGACGUAGGGCGCGAGCGUUGUCCGGAUUUAUUGGGCGUAAAGAGCUCGUAGGCGGCCUGUCGCGUCGACCGUGAAAACUUGGGGCUCAACCCCAAGCCUGCGGUCGAUACGGGCAGGCUAGAGUUCGGUAGGGGAGACUGGAAUUCCUGGUGUAGCGGUGAAAUGCGCAGAUAUCAGGAGGAACACCGGUGGCGAAGGCGGGUCUCUGGGCCGAUACUGACGCUGAGGAGCGAAAGCGUGGGGAGCGAACAGGAUUAGAUACCCUGGUAGUCCACGCUGUAAACGUUGGGCGC
rnacentral:rRNA from 1 species